AUUCUUUGAGAGAUUGGAGAGCCGAAUUAGAGAGCAAACUUGUGGAGGGAGUUUUGAGAGGUGAUUUUGUAUCAGUAGAUUCAGUAUUGGAUUUUUGAGGGAUUUUCAAAGCGAGUGAUGUUCUCUGUGAAUUUAGAUCUUUGAGAAAUAAAACCGGUUUAUAAAUUUUUGGAUUUCGUGACUUUUGUAGCAUUUUUAUGGGUGGAAGUUUAGAGACUUAUUGGUA
rnacentral:lncRNA from 1 species